rnacentral:rRNA from 1 species
ACGGCUCAGUAACACGUAGGUAACCUACCCUUCGGACGGGCACAACCCCGGGAAACUGGGGCUAAUUCCCGAUAGGUACCCCCUUCUGGAAUGUGGGGAUAUCCAAAGCUCCGGCGCCGAAGGAUGGGCCUGCGGCCGAUUAGGUUGUUGGCGGGGUAACAGCCCACCAAGCCGACGAUCGGUACGGGCAGUGAGAGCUGUAGCCCGGAGAUGGGGACUGAGACAAGGCCCCAGGCCCUACGGGGCGCAGCAGGCGCGAAACCUUCACAAUGCACGAAAGUGUGAUGAGGGUACUCCGAGUGCGCAUACAUUGUAUGUGCUUUUCUGCAGCGUAAAUAGUUGCAGGAAUAAGGGCUGGGCAAGACCGGUGCCAGCCGCCGCGGUAACACCGGCAGCCCUAGUGGUGGCCGCUUUUAUUGGGCCUAAAGCGUCCGUAGCCGGACAGGCGAGUCUUUGGGUAAAUCCUACGUCUUAAGCGUGGGAAUUCUAAAGAUACUACCUGUCUUGAGGCCGGGAGAGGCUGGAGGUACUCCUGGGGUAGGGGUAAAAUCCUAUAAUCCUGGGGGGACCACCGAUGGCGAAGGCAUCCAGCUGGAACGGGCCUGACGGUGAGGGACGAAACCCAGGGGAGCGAGCCGGAUUAGAUACCCGGGUAGUCCUGGGCGUAAAUGAUGUGGGCUUGGUGUGAGCGCAUCGACGAGGUGCGCUUGUGCCGUAGGGAAGCCGUUAAGCCCACCGCCUGGGGAGUACGGUCGCAAGGCUGAAACUUAAAGGAAUUGGCGGGGGGAG